AAUUAGCAAUUAGUAUGCAAAGUACCCCCUAAUAAAAUCGGUGGAAAAAGUGAACAGAAGUUGGCUGAUCGAGACGCCGAUAACAAGUGUAUGAUGGCUUUAGCCAAUCCGGGGGCAAUCCAAAUAAAUAAACUUCUGUUAUUUGAAGCUUGGGCCGGAAGGUCAACUCAGAUAGAACUUGUCAUACUUCCUCCCGGCAACAUCAGAGAUUAAUUGCAAUCAGAUAAUAUCGGUGUUAACACAUACGGGAGAAAUUUUACCUUCGAGAGACAAAAGGCACCACCCCAAAUGUUAGUCCACAUGCUGCUU